CUGCAGUCGGUCAAGCCGACUGGGCGCCUUUGCUGGUGUGUGGUGUGCGGUGGCCGCGGCAGCAGCCUCCUCGGUGGAGCACGCAGCUUGUUGCUCGUAGGAGCUGCCCCAAGGGACCUUGGAGACCCUG
ensembl:snoRNA SNORA70 Small nucleolar RNA SNORA70